rnacentral:lncRNA from 1 species
AAAAUCACUCUAGAAUUAUGCAAAUUAGUUCCAAUUAUGCUUAAAUCAUCAAAGAAAAUCAAACUCCAAUUUUUUUUCACAUAAAUCAUCAUUGGCAUCUCACCAAAAAUCUAAUGGAGCAAUAAUCAUCUCAAAAACAAUCACACACCACCAACCAAGCAGGAUAAAACGAUAAAGCCAACAAUAAUAAUAAAAGUGAUACACAUAUCUAUUCUCACCCCCCUCCCCCAAACUUAUUACAGAACAUAAGUUCGAAAAUAAGUUUGGAGGGAUGAUGAUAUGUGUGUCACUACUCACAGAAACACAUGCUCCAUGGUGGUGAUAUGGACAAGGCGCGAGUUCCUGCAUCUUCCAAGCUCAGCACUGCACUAAACUCCUAAACAAACAAAGAAA